rnacentral:rRNA from 1 species
GUUGUAUGGUUAAGUGACUAAGCGUACACGGUGGAUGCCUUGGCAGUCAGAGGCGAUGAAAGACGUAGUAACUUGCGAUAAGCCCAGAUUAGGUAGUAACAACCAUUUGAGUCUGGGAUUUCUGAAUGGGGAAACCCACGUGCAUAAGCACGUAUCCUUACCUGAAUACAUAGGGUAAGGAGGCGAACCGGGGGAACUGAAACAUCUAAGUACCCCGAGGAAAAGAAAUCAACCGAGAUUCCGAAAGUAGCGGCGAGCGAAAUUGGACUAGCCCUUAAGCUUUACACGCGUUAGACGAACGGUCUGGAAAGUCCGACGAUACAGGGUGAUAGUCCCGUAGUUGACGACGUGUGUUCAGUGAAAUCGAGUAGGGCGGGACACGUGAUAUCCUGUCUGAAUAUGGGGGGACCAUCCUCCAAGGCUAAAUACUACUGACUGACCGAUAGUGAACCAGUACCGUGAGGGAAAGGCGAAAAGAACCCCUGUGAGGGGAGUGAAAUAGAACCUGAAACCGUGUACGUACAAGCAGUAGGAGCACCUUCGUGGUGUGACUGCGUACCUUUUGUAUAAUGGGUCAGCGACUUAUAUUCAGUGGCAAGGUUAACCAUCUAGGGGAGCCGUAGGGAAACCGAGUCUUAACUGGGCGUUCAGUCUCUGGAUAUAGACCCGAAACCAGGUGAUCUAGCCAUGGGCAGGUUGAAGGUUGAGUAACAUCAACUGGAGGACCGAACCGACUAAUGUUGAAAAAUUAGCGGAUGACUUGUGGCUAGGGGUGAAAGGCCAAUCAAACCUGGAGAUAGCUGGUUCUCCCCGAAAGCUAUUUAGGUAGCGCCUCGGACGAAUACUACUGGGGGUAGAGCACUGUUAAGGCUAGGGGGUCAUCCCGACUUACCAACCCUUUGCAAACUCCGAAUACCAGUAAGUACUAUCC